UAUAACUUUCCCUAAGAGAAAUAUAGAAACUUUGGCUAAACCCACCAAACUGAGAGAGCCUCUCACAUGGUAGAACAAGGGAAUUACGACCACCCCCUAAAGUGAUCUGAUUGGCUGGGGACUUGAGAGCCAAGGCCAGCAAUGGCCCUAAAAUUAACUAUUGACCGAAAUUGGUCAGUCUUCAGAGACAUGCCAUCACCUGGUUUGGAUACUUAAGGAAGGGCCUCAGAAGAAGUCGGGGAGUCACUCUGUAAUCAGAGCUCCCACAGAGAACUGCGUGAAAGUCCAUCUGUAGUCAGAUACUUUCCGCAGAACUUUGUGCACUCUCAGCUGAGGAAUGUGAUUGUUUAAUAUUGUAUUUGUCCAAAUGUAUUUACAAGUAUGUGGCCACAUGUCAAUAAUUAUAUAUUGUAAUAUGUUUAAUAAAUGUUGUCUUGAUUACUUCA